AACCCUGAUUUGACUGAAGAUUGCACGAUCACAAUACAGGUUCAAUAUACAGUCUGUCUGCUAUGAAUAACAUGGAAGAACACCACGACCCUAGGCUUGCUUCAGAAUAGAAAACCUGUAUUAAUCAACAGAACCUUAAAAUUGGAGACUCCACUGAAGUGCCACCCGGUACCUUAACAUGUGACAAUUUCAAAUCCUAUGAUGAGGUUCCAAGGGGUUGUAAAAUGAAAGAAA